rnacentral:rRNA from 1 species
UACGGGGGGGGGCAAGCGUUGUUCGGAAUUACUGGGCGUAAAGGGUGCGUAGGCGGUUCGUUAAGUUAGAUGUGAAAACUCUGGGCUCAACCCAGAGCCUGCAUCUAAAACUGGCGGGCUAGAGUUCUGGAGGGGGUAGCGGAAUUCCUGGUGUAGCGGUGAAAUGACGUAGAUAUCAGGAGGAACACCGGUGGCGAAGGCGGCUACCUGGACAGAAACUGACGCUGAGGCAACGAAAGCUAGGGGAGCAAACAGG